GGCGGCCGCCUUUGUGACGCGCCGCCGUCCGCGGGCCUCCGCUCGUACCACCACCCCCUCGGGGCGCAGGGCGCCGGGGCCCAAACCUGGGGUCGUCAGAGCCGGCGACCGUGCGUGGAGAGGGCAGGACCGGCCCGGCGCGGAGUGUCCCAGAAGGCUUGCGGGCCGGGGCGGAGGGCGGAGGAGCCGAGGGACAAGCCUGGGUCUCCCAAGGUGUCCGGACUGUGGGGCCCCAGAUGUUUGAUCCAGAUGCCCAACGCCUGGGAUUCUCCGGCCGAAGAGCUGGAGCCCUUUUUUCUCCUGGUUUGUCUGUAGCUUUCCGGCAUACCUACAUCUCUGUUCAAAAGAAGGAAAACAGUUAAAGUCCAACCUUUUCUUCUAAAAGGAAGAAACCUAAAGAAGAAAUCCCAUCUCUUCUCACGAGUAAAGACCGCCACAGAGAGUCUGCAGGAAGACCCGUGGAAAGAGACGUCUUUUCUAUCGGUAGUAACGGGUGGACAAAAGUAUGGAAAGAAGUGACAAAUUGUGGAUGGCAAGGGUGCAUGGUACCAAUCCCCCCACCAAGAAUGAAGUUCGUCCAUCUUUGUGAAAUGAUAUGUUCGUGUGCCUUUGGAGACACCUUACAGAAGACAUCCAGUGUGGAGCUGACGGGCAUAAGCUUUGGAACUAUGUCCACGUAGAUUUCACGCUGGAUUCGGCCACUCUCUCGUUGUGUCCCCCGGGGGGCUCCCGGUCCACGCUGCCUAGUUUCCUCAUCUGUGAAACAGGAAUAAAAUACCCGCCUGUUGUUCCUAAUGAAGAUGAACCAUUUAUAAAGAACUCCAUG